rnacentral:rRNA from 1 species
GACGAACGCUGGCGGCGUGCUUAACACAUGCAAGUCGAACGGUAAGGCCCUUCUUUUGUGGCGUGCUCGAGGAACGAACGGGUGACUAACACGUAAGUUACCUGCCCUUUACUGUUGGCUAACUUCAGGAAACUCUGUCUAAUACCAGAUACUAGCUCCUGCUGCUUGGUGUUGGUUGGAAAGUUUCGGCGGUUGGGGACGGACUCGCGGCUCAUCAGCUUGUUGGUGGGGUAGUGGCUUACCAAGGCUUGGACGGGUAGCCGGCCUGGGAGGGUGACCGGCCAAAUGGGAACUGGGAUGCGGCCCGGACUCCAAGGGGGGGAAGGAGUGGGGAAGAUUGAACAAGGGGGGGAAGCCUGAUGAGGAAAGGCGGGGUGCGGGAGGAGGGCAUUCGGGUUGUAACCCGCUUCAGCAUGUGACGAAGCGUGAGUGACGGUAAUGGGUAAAGAAGCACCGGCUAACUACGUG